rnacentral:miRNA from 3 species
GCGCGGCCGCGUGAUGUAGAGGGUGACGCGAACGGCAGCGCCGGGACUCGCGUCUUCCGGCGGCACCAGCCGCGC